rnacentral:precursor_RNA from 8 species
AUCUGGAAGCUUUGUUCCGUCGUCUAUAUAUACCCUGUAGAACCGAAUGUGUGUUUACACAGCAAAUUCACAGAUUCGGUUUUAGGGGAGUAUAUGGACGAUGCAAAAACGUCUGCUUUCAA